rnacentral:rRNA from 1 species
CUACGGAGGAUCCGAGCGUUAUCCGGAUUUAUUGGGUUUAAAGGGUGCGUAGGUGGGCCUGUAAGUCAGUGGUGAAAGUUUGCAGCUUAACUGUAAAAUUGCCGUUGAAACUGCCGGUCUUGAGUGCAAAUGAGGUAAGCGGAAUGUGUUGUGUAGCGGUGAAAUGCUUAGAUAUGACACAGAACACCGAUUGCGAAGGCAGCUUACUGGGAUGCCACUGCCACUGAGGCACGAAAGCGUGGGUAUCAAACAGGAUUAGAUACCCUGGUAGUCCUCGCAGUAAACGUUGAAUGCUAGUUGUCUGCGAUAUAUUGUAGGUGCCUCAGCGAAAGCGUUAAGUAAUACAGCUGGGGAGUACGUUCGCAAGACUGAGACUCAAAUGAAUUGACGGGG